CUCACUCAAAACAUACUUUUCUGUGGCGGCUAAAACCAUAAUUUGGUCAAAAAAUAAAGUGCAUUAUCCUCAUAAUUCCUGUAAAGAAAGUGUCUGCCAAGCCCCUGUGCCAUCGCUGUGGCCCGCUGCUGUAAUGAGCGAACCACUCUCCUCUCCCCCCAUGCGCUUGAGAGAAAAAUACAUUCUGAUCGUAUAACAUUUCAAAAAGCAAUUGUGGGACAAACACAGAUUUGGAAGCUUCAUCCCCUUGUUCUUAUCGACGAGAGGAGGGUCUCAGCUUUCUGUAGGUAUAAUUUAGAUUUAUUAACUCUCAAUAUUCAGCUCAAUAGAAACUAUUUUACAACCAAGAUAUUUGAUAUGGCUUUGCGAUAUGGAGUGAAAUGCGCACAGGCCAUUGCGAGGACAUAGGCCUAUAGGUCCUGUUGUCUACAAAUGCAAAGUUUUUUUAGGACAUAACAUUCACUGUUGGAUGAAUACAUGACUACUAGCAGUGGGUAUUCUAUUUAGAGUUAGCGAUCUAGUUCAUGUGUUUUGAGUUUCAACCUCCUCAGGUGUUGAACCCAAAUUGAAUUAGCCUGUGAUAUUAGUUAGUACACAUGUAUGUAAUUUAUCUCUAUUGAAAAAAAAACAGGAAAUUCUGGAGUCUAUUUUAACAGUACAAUAUAGCAACUAUAGACUAGUUGUGAACACAAAACUCAUGACAAUCAAUGGAUUAGGUUGCACAUAAAAAUAUCUUGAAUCAUGAAUUCCUGCUUGAAUACCUCAGUAGUGAAUUUAUUACGCUUCUUAAUAAAGCACUACGAAUUACUUUAUAAGAUGGAUACUCAUGACCAACUGUAAUAGUUAGUGGCACCAGUGACACCAGGGGAACAUGUUAGUCUGGAUCCCUGUAAUAGUAAUUAACACUAAGGGUAGAUGUUGAUUCAGGGGAACAUGUUAGUCUGGAUCCCUGUAAUAGUAAUUAACAGUAAGGGUAGGUGUUGAUUCAGGGGAACAUGUUAGUCUGGAUCCCUGUAAUAGUAAUUAACACUAAGGGUAGGUGUUGAUUCAGGGGAACAUGUUAGUCGGGAGCCCUGUAAUAGUAAUUAACAGUAGGGGUAGGUGUUGAUUCAGCGGAACAUAUGACAGGCACAAAUUUUAAAUAUACUGUAGUCUAAGUCUUUUGCUUGGCUUUUAAAACGUUUAAGGCUUGAAGGGCAAUUCUGCCACUUUUCAACCCCACAUCCAUGAUCUCCAGCACCAAACCAAUGUCUACAUAUGUGAAAACUGUUUGUUUCUAUGAUCCGUGUUUAAAAAGAUAAGAAGAAACCUCCUAAAAAAAUGCUUCUCUGUGACAUCACUGUCACGCCCUGGUCUGUUUCACCUGUUCUUGUGAUUGUCCCCACCUCCUCCAGGUGUCGCUUAUUUUCCCCAGUGUAUUUAUCCCUGUGUUUCCUGUCUCUCUGUGCCAGUUCGUCUUGUAUGUUUUCAAGUCAACCAGCGUGUUUUUACCGUGCUCCUGUUUUCUAUUCUCUUUUUCUACUCUUCCCGGUUUUAACCCUUGCCUGUUUUUUCUGGACUCCGUACCUGCCUGCCUGACCCUUCUGCUUGCCCUGACAUCGAGCCUGUCUGCCACUCUGUACCUCUUGGACUCAGAAUCUGGUUUUGAACUUUUGCCUGUCCACGACCAUUCUGUUGCCUACUCCUUUUCUAUAUAAGUAAACAACUAAGACUCUAACUAUCUGCCUCCUGUGUCUGCAUCUGGGUCUCGCCUUGUGCCCUUAUAAUCACAGGGUAGAAUUAAAAGUAAAAAAAAUGUGAUUUUCAAAUCCUGCCACGAGUUUCUAGCCAAAGGGAGGGUAUUUUUUUGCUUUGCUUUGAAAGCCAAAUAACCCUUUUUGGUCCUAGAUAGCAUAUUUUUUUCUAAGAGUGUAGGUUGAUGCCACAAUAUUGAAAUGGCAUGGCUUUGGCUGGCAGUGUUUGAACCUCAGGUUUCAGGUUGAUGACGUCACAGUGCGAUGCUAACUUGGCCAUCCACUACAUACUGUACUCUAAGGACCCACAGCAGCAGGUCACCUCUGGCCAGGUCAAACUGCACAACCCCAGAGGCCAGCAAGGAUCUUGUGAAUGACCUAACAAGAUUGGGACCGUCUGAUCCUCUUGAGGGAAGUCUUCCCUCGACGCGACCCACAACUUAAUCUCUGUGACGUCACUCGCAACGUGGUGACACCAGUGUUGACGGAAUCAAUCCCGUUCAGUUCCCGGUUUUUGGAGUGGAAGUCCAGAGCUGAGCCACAGCCCUUACAAUAAAAUAUGUCACAUUUGUGAAAUUACAUUUU
rnacentral:lncRNA from 1 species